rnacentral:tRNA from 1 species
GGAUUGUGGCUCAGUGGUAGAGCACUUGCCUAGUACACACAAGGCCCUGGGUUCAAUCCACAACACCA